GUGGCUUUAGUUUAAUAAAAAUGUUUGCUUUGCAAGCAAUUGUUCUAAGUUAAAAUCUUAGAAGCUACA
rnacentral:tRNA from 1 species